CUCAUGGAUAAACAAUGUCCAGACUCCUGGGAACAUAUCCAACAGGCACCACAAAAUUGCAUUUCUACCUGUUCUUUAACUAUAGCAGCAAUGAGUUACAAUGCAUCCACAUGAAGCCCAGGAUGAUUCUAAGAAAAUAAAAAGUCUGAGAAGGUGGAGCCAAGUGCUUCAUUUUGAAGCAUGUCCAGAACGAUGAAAAGGGAGUAAACUACCAAAUCAUAAGAUUCUCGCACUCCUCCAUCCCCACCCCAAAUCCUUGUGUUGCUUGCCCUGAACUGAACAGAAUCAACAUGGGUCAUAUCUUAGCUGAUUCACCAAUCUCAAGACUGGCUGUUUUGUUUCAAACGUCAUUUGAACACAUGGCUCAUUU